UAGAAAUCGGGUCCAAGAAUAAUUGAUCCAAAACUUCGUCUCCAAAAAUUGAUAAGAGGGGCCUCAUUUCCACAUAUGAAUCUUAGAAUUCAGACAAACCGUCCAAAUUAGAAAUUAACCCUUACGCCCCUGCAACGAAACUACGCCGGCUCAGGAAAGGCGGGAAAACUCGAACUUCUAUAAAGAGGAACUCACUUCACACCUGAAACUGAGACGAAUUGUGUUCACAGAGAGUAAAAAAGAGGCCCAUUGAGGUUUGCAACACAAUGGAGGAAUAUCUGCAACAUAUGAAGAACCUGCGCUCGCAAAUGAAUGGUUUUGAGGAGCAGCUUGCUGAGAUCUCAGUGGAAGAGCACAAGCAGAAGACUUGCAUUCAAGCCAUUGAAAAUGAUCUACAAUUUG